CCGACGGGAAUUGUCUUUUUCGCGCGCUGGCGUAUUGUGUACACGCCACUCAAGAUCGACACGCAGAGGUGAGACUGAGUAUCGUUUCGAAUAUAGUUGCUAAUUGGUCUACAUUUGCGGGUUUUAUUACAGGUAAUGAGUCAAACGGUGCCGUGAUUAGGUCACCUGGUGAUUACAAAUCACACAUGAAUAAAAAUGGAAUUUACCGGGGAGAAGCAGAAUUAGCUGCAGCUGCGGACAUUUUUAAAACAUUUUUAAUCGUGUAUCGCGGAGAACAAAUUCAUCCACACCAAAUCAAAUCCCAAGAUGAAAGACAAUUCUCGCUACUCUUCACCGGCGACGGAGACAGUCGACACUUUGAUGUCUUGCAGAACCAAAAUAAAAUUCAGAUAUCAAAAGGACAGCCAGGAUUUACGUUGGCAAUGGAGAAAGGAGGAGUUUCAAUCAGCAGACAAGGCGAUGGAGACGGUGGAUGGUCGGACGUAUCACAAAA